UACGUAGGGUGCAAGCGUUGUCCGGAAUUAUUGGGCGGUAAAGAGCUCGUAGGCGGUCUGUUACGUCGGCUGUGAAAACCUGGGGCUCAACCCGGGCCUGCAGCCGAUACGGGCAGACUAGAAUUCGGUAGGGGAGACUGGAAUUCCUGGUGUAGCGGUGAAAUGCGCAGAUAUCAGGAGGAACACCGGUGGCGAAGGCGGGUCUCUGGGCCGAUAUUGACGCUGGAGGAGCGAAAGCGUGGGGAGCGAACAGG
rnacentral:rRNA from 1 species